rnacentral:rRNA from 1 species
GACGAACGCUGGCGGCGUGCCUAAUACAUGCAAGUAGAACGCUGAAGAGAGGAGCUUGCUCUUCUUGGAAGAGUUGCGAACGGGUGAGUAACGCGUAGGUAACCUGCCUUGUAGCGGGGGAUAACUAUUGGAAACGAUAGCUAAUACCGCAUAACAAUGGAUGACCCAUGUCAUUUAUUUGAAAGGGGCAACUGCUCCACUACAAGAUGGACCUGCGUUGGAUUAGCUAGUAGGGGAGGUAACGGCUCACCUAGGCGACGAUACAUAGCCGACCGGAGAGGGUGAUCGGCCACACGGGGACUGACACACGGCCCAGACUCCUACGGGCGGCAGCAGUAGGGAAUCUUCGGCAAUGGGGGCAACCCUGACCGAGCAACGCCGCGUGAGUGAAGAAGGUUUUCGGAUCGUAAAGCUCUGUUGUAAGUCAAGAACGAGUGUGAGAGUGGAAAGUUCACACUGUGACGGUAGCUUACCAGAAAGGGACGGCUAACUACGUGCCAGCCGCCGCCGUAA